rnacentral:rRNA from 1 species
GACGAACGCUGGCGGCAUGCCUUACACAUGCAAGUCGAACGGCAGCACGGGGGCAACCCUGGUGGCGAGUGGCGGACGGGUGAGUAAUGCAUCGGAACGUGCCCUGAAGUGGGGGAUAACGCAGCGAAAGCUACGCUAAUACCGCAUAUUCUGUGAGCAGGAAAGCAGGGGAUCGCAAGACCUUGCGCUUUGGGAGCGGCCGAUGUCGGAUUAGCUAGUUGGUGGGGUAAAGGCCUACCAAGGCGACGAUCCGUAGCGGGUCUGAGAGGAUGAUCCGCCACACUGGGACUGAGACACGGCCCAGACUCCUACGGGAGGCAGCAGUGGGGAAUUUUGGACAAUGGGCGGAAGCCUGAUCCAGCCAUGCCGCGUGAGUGAAGAAGGCCUCGGUUGUAACGUACUUCUAGCAGGACGAAGACGAAGUAGACUGUACUCGCAGAAGAAGACA